GGUGCUCGCUUUGGCACCUUAUAUACCAAAGUUGGAACAAUACAGAGAAGAUUAGCAUGACCUGUGUGCAAGUUGACACACAAAUUCAUGAAGCAUUCCAUACUUUU